UGGGAAUUGACAGCUGACAGUCUGGAGAAUAUCAAAGAAGCCUCCCAGGGAGGGUGAUGCUUGGAAUGGUUUUAAAGAACCCAUGAGAAUUACCCAGAUCAACCAGAGAACGAGCAAUCUAAAACAUCUGCCGUCAGACUUUGGUUUCAUAUAAUACAGAAGAUGCAAGCUAGCUUACUGCUCCAAGGCCCUGUUCGUGAAAAGAUACAGAGUUGCUUCUGUGCUUCUAUGCUAAGCAGGGAUCCCAAUGCAGGACUCGAGUCCAGGACUCCAGGACCAUGACCUGAGCUGAAGGAAGUCACUUAACCAACUGAGCCACCCAGGAGCCCUUAACCAAUUUCUAAACACAUAACUAAAGACUGA
rnacentral:lncRNA from 1 species